rnacentral:rRNA from 1 species
AUCUAUGGCCGUACCACCCUGAAUGCGCCUGAUCUCAUCUGAUCUCAGAAGCUCAGCAGGGUCAGGCCUGGUUAGUACUUGGAUGGCAGAUAAAUUUUCUUAGAAAAAAAACAUAGAAU